UAGUUGCUGAAACAGCCCUGCUGAGAUGGGGAAGUAGAGCAGAUGCUGGACAAUCCAUCCCCAUAGGUGACACAGCCAUGGAUGGCAUCAGGGUGGCACAGUGUGAUGCAAUUGUGGUUUCCGCCCAGAAAAAUCCUCACUGCUGUAUUGGAAAGAGCUGCUCCACGUCUGCAGCUCACCUGACAAUUCAUGACUAUGCAACCAUCUUUUCCCAACGGCUAGCAUCCAAAGCCAUUCAGACACCCACAGGUAAGGUAAGGUUACCCUCAUUCAUGUCAUUGUGUACUAAAAGGAGGGGAUGGCAGAGCCAAAGGGAGAAAAGAAUAGCACCACUUCACCCAUCCAUGGCUGUCUUCAUCCAAGGACCAGCAAGCACUUUCUGAAUGGGCCUUCUAACCAGCCCUGUGAGACCUAUCUUAUGUACUUCUAUAGCCCCUUACCAUAGUAUCUGAGCGCCUCACACUCUUCAGUGUAGUUAUCCUCACAACACUCCUGUGAGGUAGGGAGAUGCUAUUAUCUCCAUUGUACCGCUGGGGAUCCCUGGCACAGAGAGAUUGAGUGAUUUGCCCAUACAGGAAGUCUGCAGUGGAGAAGGAAACAUGAGCUCUAGUCUCUCCAGUCCCAGUCUAGCACCAUAACCGCCUGUUCACAGGUGUGUGUGUGAGAUUCCCUAGUUCACUGUUGGAGAAAUAGGAAGCACAGAGCAGUUCAGUGACUUGCCUAAGAGUCACCAGCAAUGCUGGGACUUCUUCUCUGGAUUCGUUAGCUCCCGUGCUGCCCUCUAACUUGACAAUAUUCCUUCUACCAGAAAGUCUUUAAAUCAUGAGAGAAACGUGAUCAGCAGGAUUUUUUUGGAGGCACAGCACAGCACUGGAGGGGAACAGAGCAUACCAAUGGUAGGACAUAUUGCAGGGAAGUGUGCCAACAUUGGGUUGUAGUUACUGGGGGAAAAGACACAUGCUGGGAUACCCUACUGAGUGAUCUUGUUCUAGAUCUGAAGAUGGGGAGAGGGCUGUGCACACAGCUGGUAAGUUGGUUACAUUGUAUGAUACAGAGGGUGGAAUUGUUUGGUUUAUUGAUGGGGUGCUGGUGAAACUCCCUUUCCUUCUUUCCAUUGUGAAAAGCUUCUGAAAGGAUCUUUGUGGAGAUGCAUGAAGGGGCUGCUGCCCAGGCCCUUGGGAAUAUGCCUGAAUUCUGGAGGAAGGGAAAUCAGGCAACAAAUUCUACUCCAACAAUUGAAUUGUGCCCAGGCCUGCAGACAUUUCAGCCGUGGGUCUCAAAAAAUGAAGAGCACAUCAGACAUGCCCUAGAAUUCCCCUCAAAGCAGCAUUUUCAUUUCUGAAGUGCCAACUCAGUUUUUAAAAGCUUCUAUUAAUUUUAAUUCCUUAGGUUUAGGACUUUUCAUAAGAGCAGAGAAUGAUAAACCCACUCUGUUGGGUUAUCAGGUUAAUAAUAUUUUAUGUAGCUAAAUACCCCCUGCAAUUUCAGUUGAAAAGAGUAUUCUAAUUUCUGUAAUUAAAAUGUGCUUUGCAUUGUUAACAGCUGCUGUCUUUCACCUCAGAGGUGGCUGCAUUUCAGUGGUGCGCAAAGUGAUCAUUGUACACAUUGUGUCUUAAUAAAUCCUCGACCCUCAUUUAGCAGUGAGAAAAUGUUGUUGAAGUUAAACAUCACUAUAGAAUUUCUGAAAGAAAAUAAACCUUGUUUCCUCUGUUGGAUUCUAGCAGAUUCUCUCUUCUCUGAAUCAACUGGCUCUCUUAUUUGUUUCAGGACAUCGGCAAUAUAGAUUAUUUCCCCCUCUUCUAAUGACUGGAACUUCUGAGCCCUACAUCGAUGAAAUGUGCAAUAUACAAAUAAUCAUCACAACUCUACCCAUUUACUGUUUAUCCCAUACUCAUGUACAUCUAUAUACAUCUUCUUUUACUUAACACAUCACACACAGAAGACACAUAGAUAUUUAUAGCAUUAUGCGUGUAAUUUACAUGCCACUCUGCAACCAAUCCAUGGCAUCUAGAUGUAGCUGUCCUUGCUGCCUUGGAAUAUCUAGUGGCACCUGAAGGCAGCUGACACAUUUUAGCAUCAGUUGAUUUCAAAGAUGUGUGUACAGUGCCUAGCUCAGUUCAUAGAUUACAAGGCCAGGAGGACCAGUGUGAUCAGCUAGUCCAGUAGUUCUCAAAGUUUUGUACUGGUGACCCCUUUCACAUAGCAAGCCUCUGAGUGCGAUCCACCUUAUAAAUUAAAAACACUUUUAAAAUAUAUUAACACUAUUAUAAAUGCUGGAGGCAAAGUAGGGUUUGGGGUGGAGGUUGACAGCUCAUGACCCCCUGAGGGGUCCUGACCCCCCUGUUUGAGAACCCCUAAUCUAGUCUGACCUCCUGUAUAGCAUAGAUCACAGAAUGUACCCAAAAUAAUUCCUAGAGCAGAUCUUUUAGAAAAAUAUCCAAUCUCGAUUUUAAAAUUGUGAGUGACAGAGAAUUCACCACGACCCUUAGUAAAUUGUUCCAACGGUUAAUUACUCUCCCCGUUAAAAACGUACACCUUAUUUCCAGUCUGAAUGUGUCUAGCUUCAACUUCCACACACUGAAUCAUGUUAUACCCUUCUCGGUUAGACCGAAGAGCCCAUUACUAAAUAUUUGCUCCCCAUGUACUCAGAUUGUAAUCAAGUCACCUCUUAACCUUUUCUUUGUUAAUCUAAAUAGAUUCAGCUCUUUGAGUUUAUCACUAUAAAGUGUGUUUUCUAAUCCUUUAAUCAUUCUUGUGGCUCUUUUUUGAACCCUCUCUAAUUUAUUAACAUCCUUCUUGAAUUGUGGGCUCCAGAACUGAACACACCAAUCCAGCACUUGUCAUACCAGUGCUAAAUACAGAAGUAAAAUAACCCUUCUGCUUCUACUCAAGAUUCCUGUUUAGGCAUCCCAGGAUGCAUUUACCCUUUUGGCCACAGCAUCACACUCAGAACUCAUGUUUAGCUGAUUAUCUACAAGGAUCCCCCCCAAAUCUUUUUUCAGAGUCACUGCCUGCUAGAUCAUAAUCAGGUCUUUGAAUUUAGGAUGAGGCACCAGUAACAUUGGCUAGAAGGAGGAAGGAAUGGCAGAAUCAGGUAUGAUGGACCUCACUUUGAGAAAGGGCAAAGAGGGAUAGUGAAGAAAAGGCAUCUAACAAGAGGGGAACUAGCUGGAGGAGUAUAAGUAUGAACAGGGGACAGGAGGAAUAGAAAGCGAGGCGGAGGACAUAUUAGGAGAGAUGAGCCUGCCAACUAACCUUGUAUAGAUGUGAUUAGAACUAUCCACUUUGGGAAGAGUGAGCGUUACCUUAAGGGACUGGGCUUGAUUCAUAUUUUCCCUGCUGAAAAGGUGACAACCCUAAAAGCCUAUGAAUGCCUAUGCAGGUUUCCCUAUUUGCUAGAGUAGUUCUGCCUUUUAUAAAAGUGGACAUGUUGCAGGAGUACAGGGAGAUCCUAUUGAAAAAUCUGUGUAUAAGGCAAUGUGAAAGGCCUUGACUCCUUUACAGGCUAAGUAGUGCAUGGUAGUAGAUAGUCAUUGUAAGUAAAACUGAACAUUACAGGAAGUAGACAAACCAUACAAUUAUUUCUCUGUUAAUAGAGCUUGUUUUGGGGCCAUUCACAGAGCAAGGCACUGUGAAUUAUCCUAGCCUGAUACCACAUUAAAACCAGUCAUUUAUUACCCCGGCCCUCUUAUUACUCAGUACAGCUGGAAUUGUGAAGUCAUCUUCUGCAUGUCAGAACUAGUGUGACCUUUUCAUGUUUUACAUCAUCUUUCUCUCUCUCAGCCACUCAAAUGCAGGCUGAGUAAUUUCAGUACUGGGUUUUUCCUCUUUAUUAACACCAUGACCUAGGAAGAGUAGUGUUCUUUCAGUAAUAAUCUUCCUUAUGCAGCUCCUCACAUAGACCUUAAAGACAGCUAUAACUGGAUAUGACUUAUAGAUUUCUAUGAAUCAAAUGUACUGCAGUCAUGCCUAAAUAACGUAUCUCAUAUCAUUAAAAUGAGCAAGAGACUGACAGUACAUGAAUUAGUGGAAAUGGGAAUAAUGUUUAUUCAGACCUGGUUGGGCCUGAAAGCCAUAGAUAAAAUAUGUAGUACAUCAUUCUGGUAGGAUGUUUGUUUUUGUGUAUGUUAAAUAGGGCAGAAAACUGAUCCCCAUAAGUGGUGAGAGGAUUUAGUUAACACCUUUUCUUUGUGAGACACACUGAACUGGGAAAAGGAAACAGACUUUAGGCUGGGAGAGAGAAACUUGAUUUUGCCAUAUUGUAUCUUAACACUGUGCAACAUGAACUUGGCCCGGAUUACCAAAGUUUUCUGUAGUGUUUGACUAGCCAAAGUAUUUUGUCCCUAGCCCUCGUUUCUGUUUUUUCUUUCUGUAAUUUGUCAAUACAUCUUGGUUUUGUUUAAGACUACCUGAAUUAGGUGGCGGAUACUAGCAGCGGGGCAAAUCACUGCUAGGUGCCUCAGACUGACUUCAGAAAAGGCAGAAUAAAUACGUAACUACUUGAGUGCACGUUGUGAUCCCCCACUCCCCAAACAGAGCAAUGGAACUGGUAUGGAGGGAAAGAAGUUACAUGAAGAGCUGUAAUUAGUUACUGCAGAGAGACUACUGUUCAGCAAACACUGACAACGCUAACAAAUUGGACUUAUUCACUCAAUGCAAAUAAUAUAGCUUGGAAAGCUUUUUUCCUAGUGGAACAAAUGUCACUAUUCCUCAUCCUUACGUGUACAUUCAUGACUUCUCCCUGCAAACUCCAAUUCACAACUAAAUGUGAAUUUAGUACUGAUGAUAAGAAAACUGUAGAUGCUAGAUGCAAGUUUCAGAAGUGACUCAUAACUUUGGUUGUCUAACUUAAAGGCAUCUUUGAGCCUUGACUGUCAAAGUGCCUGCCUUCGAAAAAUUAGGCCCCUUUAAAACUAUCAAGUUGAGCACCAAAAAAAAUGGAUGCACCCAAAAUCAUUAGUCACUGAAAUGGCUUAAGUCCUAUUCACAGAGCAACUAGUCUAUGCAUCAGCACUUCAAAGUGACCGUGCAAUCCACUGCUCUGAGUAUUUCUUUGGGAAUUAGGCCAGGACGAAAAUAUUCAAAUAAAUUCACUUAGACAUGAAGUAGCCACAAAGUUUUCAGCACUUAAAAAAAAUGUAAAAAAAAAAAAAAAAAAAGCAGUAACUAACAAGAAUGAGACUUCAGGAGCUACUGUUUUUUUCCUUUCCUACCUAAUCAUUUUUCAUAAGGAAAGAAGGGUGGGGGAAUGAGUUUAAAAAAGCUAUUCAUUGUUCUUACUGAUAUGUCCGUGUGCAAAAAAGGACCCAAUGAAGCUGGAAAAGCCAGCUACAUUUUUUGAAUAACGCUGGUGUCCACAUAUCUUGAUUUAGGUAGAGCAUUCAAGACUGCUACAAGAUGAUCCAGGCCAAUGAUUACUUACAUGUGCAAAGUGCUGCUGCGGAAACAACCUUGGCAGGAAAAAGACUGGUGGUGAAGGGCAGAAGUUAGGUGACUAUUUUGGCUUUUUUCCUUCCUCAAUCCUUCUGUUAGUGUGUGAAUUUCCCAAAUUCAGCAAUAAAGCUAUCAGAACAAUUAACACCAAGAAAUUUGAAACAUUAAGUAUAUAUUCAGUGACAAUUUAUUAUCUGAUCUUUAUCACUUUACAAAAAAAGCAAGUAUCAAAAACAGCAAAGAUUUUCACAAGUUCCUCCUAAACUGGUGUAAAAUGUGAAUGUAAGACACAGGCUGGCUUUGCUUCUGGUCAUACACAUUCAAGGUUAUCCUUGGGCUGGGGUGCACUGGGCCUUUGGAACAUUUUUAUUUUAAAAAGCACCUGUCUUUUUUGGGGACUUGACUUGAUUCACCCAAGUCACUUUGUACUGAAAUACAACAUGGAAUGUGUAACUGUUGGGAUCAGAAAUUAAUCUCUUCUGGAUCCCAUGUACCUGAACACUGAUCAAGGGGCUUUGCAAUGGACACAUUAGGCACCAGUCUGCAUUUCUCAGAUUACCAAAAGGCAGCUACUACAUUGUGUUAGCUACAAUCACUUUUUGCCCCCCCGCCCCGCCCCAACAUGCUGCAAUGGAAUUUAACUGUAUAACAGUCCCUUCUACUUUUCCUCAUCAGGAUCUCAGGUCCAAAAAGGAAAGCUUCACUAUGUUAAAGCCCAGGGGAAAUGGACUGUCAUCCUUAAAUAUGUCAUACAACUGUGUUGUGAUGCCUGAGACAAUUCUACAACAGUGUGACUCUCCCAUUGUGGACCCAAGAAUUGAAUGAUCAAAGGAAACCGAGAUAAACCAUAAAUGUGAAAU